CACUAAAUCGGGAGAUAACUACCUGAAACAUGACAUGAUUUUCCUACCUUCAAAUAUUCCCAACCACCACUGGUUCCUGGCUGUUGUCAACUCCCAAAAGAGGGAGAUUCAAAUUCUGGACUCACUCCAAUCACGCAACAACCGCAAAGAAGUAAUUGCUGCGCUUCUUGGAAUGGAAACACAUAUUGAUAUAGCAGUGAUG